ACGAGAUGCCUCGCCGAUCGUGCGUGAAGAAGGCUUCGACAAGCCCAUCAUCACAGGUCACGAGGUAUCUCUUACGUCCCGACACCUAUCUCCCAGGCAUCACGUCGGUGGAUCGAG
rnacentral:sRNA from 1 species